rnacentral:lncRNA from 1 species
CUGGACUAGGAUUCUAGCAUCUGGGAAAGUGGUGUGUUGUAUUCCUAGAGACACCUGCAUGUCACAUCUUAAUGACCACCAUCCUCCCUAUGAGCGCCUACUGUGAGCCUCUAUCCUCAGAGGACAAAGAAACAAUACAUGAUGUCUUCCCACAAUCAAGCCACUUAAAAAGCAUUCCAUCAAUGUAAUGAAAUACCAGAGAUGACCAACCUAACAAGAGGAAGACCUUAGUCUGGUUUAUACUUGUGAAGGCUUUAGACCUUGGCUGGUUAGGCCCAAUAGGCCUAUGAUAAGAUCAUGGAGGGAGCAUGAGGCACAGGAAGCCUGUUCACUCAUCGCCAAUGUGGAAAAAAUAGAGAAAGGAGCCAGAGCCCCAAUAACCCCUCCAAAUAACGCGGUGGAACAAUUUUUGUAUACUGUAAAUAUGUAUUUCUCUUGUUGUUAAUAAAAAGCUGACUGGAUUGGGGAAGCAGGAGGACAGAAGGGAGGGGGAACUGGGAUUGGUAUGGAAGAAAAAAGAUUGUUUAAAAAAAGCUGAUUGGCUGAUGGCUAGCCAGGAUUUGUGGGUUAGAGAGAAUGCUGGGAACAAAGAGGGUGGAGUCAGAGGAGUUGCCAGCCAGACAGUGGAGGAAACAGAAGGUGUAUGAUGAAAGAGAGGUAAAGCCAUGUGGCAGGAUGUAGACUAAUACAAAUGGGUUAGUUUAAGUUGUAAAGCUGGUUAGUAGUAUUUGGGAACAGCUGCUGAGACACAGAAAAAUCUGCCUACAAAUGGCACCCAACAGGCAGAGGCUGAGGAGUCUAGAACCACUCACGAAAGAAGCAACAUGGGAACUUCAUAGAUGAGAUACAGAGCCUAGGGACAGCACAUUAAUAGAAAUGGGUUAAUUUAUGGGUUGUAAGAACUGACUGGAGACAAGCCUAAACUAUUGGACAAGCUUUUAUGGUUAAUAAUAAGUCUCAGUGUGGUUAUUUGGGAGCAGCUGCUGGGACACAGAGAAACUGCCUACACAACCCCCAGGGACUUACAGCUUCCCCUACCCUUUUUUUUUUUUUUGACAUUGUUUCAUUGUGUAACAG